GGGAACUUGUGUGGUGUUUGGAGCGUGGCUCCUACGCCGUUUUCGAUGAUUAAACUUCGAAUUGACGAUCAGCUUCGUAGACUUAAUCUUACUUACUUAAACAUUUAAAAAAUAAAUUUUGUAACUUUUCGAUAUCAUUUACCUAAUAAUCGCGAUAGUUCAAAAUCAACAAUUUUUUAAUGAUUGAUGUGUGUUAUUUGUAAGUUUAACAGUGUAGAAGUAUUCAAAUCAGAUAAAAUUUUGAUAGAAAAUUUUGUAUACUAUCUACAGCAAGAUUACUAUCUCUGAUCGAAAAUUUUAGUGUUAUAUUAUAAUUUUUGUGAGAUUUUUAUUUUCAAACAUUGAUUUUGAGUGCUUUCAAUCACUAGAUAAAUGAUAUAUAAAAAUCACAAAAUUUAUUUUUCUAAAUACUUUAAAUGCGGAAGAUCAAUUUAACAUAGUUGAUUAUCGAUUCGGAAGUUGUAUUAUAAGAAAUGGCAUAGGAUCAAGUAGG
rnacentral:lncRNA from 1 species